rnacentral:sRNA from 1 species
CCAACAUUUCAAAGCCCAAACAACAAGAGAUAACUAGGCUGUCUCCGGUCUUGAUGGCAUUCUUAUACCGGAGACCGCUGGCUGACAGCCCAACACUUCCAAGCCUGGACUGUGUAUUUACCGUACAGAACGGCUGACUUCUCAAAAAAAAAAAAAAAAAAAGGAAAAAAAAAAACCAGUACGGUACUCAUUACUGCGUACUUACAAUUCUGGUGUUUGCUUCUCCUCUUGACCUUGUGACCCGGCUAUACAAAUGGCUGGCUGACGAAAAAAAAAAUCUCCCCUCCUGGUAUUGGUAAGUAAUACGGCGUUGGCAAAACGCAAUCAAAAAAAUACCAACAUCCGCAGUAGGCGCAAUGAAGGACUUGUUCGGCCACUGGGGCAAAAGAGCUCAAUCACCACCAGCGCCAUGCCAGUGGUAGAGGGGACGAACCAAUCCAAACCCCCAACAGGACUGGCCUCCAAAUUCCUACACAUGAUCAUCCACUGGCAAGGCAUGCGUAGCUAUCAUACCUAUCACACCUGUGGCCUGAUAUGUACUGAUUCAGAAUUCAAUCCUUGGAAGAAAUAGCCGCCUGCUUCCCGUCUUGUUCAACCCCAACGACAGGUUCC